GAGUUUGAUCCUGGCUCAGGAUGAACGCUGGCGGCGUGCCUAACACAUGCAAGUCGAACGGAGUUCUUAAGGAAUGCGGCUUCGGCCAAAUGACUUUUGAACUUAGUGGCGGACGGGUGAGUAACGCGUGAGCAACCUGCCUUUCAGAGGGGGAUAACAUUUGGAAACAGAUGCUAAUACCGCAUAAGAUUACAGUACCGCAAGAUACAGUGAUCAAAGGAGCAAUCCGCUGAAAGAUGGGCUCGCGUCCGAUUAGAUAGUUGGUGAGGUAACGGCUCACCAAGUCGACGAUCGGUAGCCGGACUGAGAGGUUGAACGGCACAUUGGGACUGAGACACGGCCCAGACUCCUACGGGAGGCAGCAGUGGGGAAUAUUGCAUAAUGGGCGAAAGCCUGAUGCAGCAACGCCGCGUGAGGGAAGACGGUUUUCGGAUUGUAAACCUCUGUUUUCGGUGACGAACAAAUGACGGUAACCGAGUAGGAAGCCACGGCUAACUACGUG
rnacentral:rRNA from 1 species